rnacentral:rRNA from 1 species
CAGGCCUAACACAUGCAAGUCGAACGAAGGCUUCGGCCUUAGUGGCGCACGGGUGCGUAACGCGUGGGAAUCUGCCCUGGGGUACGGAAUAACUCAGAGAAAUUUGAGCUAAUACCGUAUGAUGACGUAAGUCCAAAGAUUUAUCGCCCUGGGAUGAGCCCGCGUAGGAUUAGCUAGUUGGUGGGGUAAAGGCCUACCAAGGCGACGAUCCUUAGCUGGUCUGAGAGGAUGAUCAGCCACACUGGGACUGAGACACGGCCCAGACUCCUACGGGAGGCAGCAGUGGGGAAUAUUGGACAAUGGGCGAAAGCCUGAUCCAGCAAUGCCGCGUGAGUGAUGAAGGCCUUAGGGUUGUAAAGCUCUUUUACCCGGGAUGAUAAUGACAGUACCGGGAGAAUAAGCUCCGGCUAACUCCGUGCCAGCAGCCGCGGUAAU